AGCAGCCGCGGUAAUUCCAGCUCCAAUAGCGUAUAUUAAAGUUGUUGCAGUUAAAAAGCUCGUAGUUGAAUUUCGGGAUCAAAGAAUCGGUCAUGCCUUGGUACGUACUGGUUUUAUUGGUUCUCACCUUCUAAAGAACCAUAAUGUCAUUUAGUUGAUGUUAUGGGGAAUUAGGACUGUUACCUUGAAAAAAUUAGAGUGUUUAAAGCAGGCUUACGCUUGAAUACAUUAGCAUGGAAUAAUGAAAUAGGACAUCAGAUUCUAUUUUGUUGGUUUCUAGGAUCGAUGUAAUGAUUAAUAGGGAUAGUUGGGGGCAUUAGUAUUCAAUUGUCAGAGGUGAAAUUCUUGGAUUUAUUGAAGAUUAACUACUGCGAAAGCAUUUGACCAAGGAUGUUUUCAUUAAUCAAGAACGAAAGUUAGGGAUCGAAGACGAUACAGAUACCGUCGUAGUCUAACCAUAAACUAUGCGACUAGGGAUCGGAGUGUACGUUUAUUUUUAGUGUACUUCAGUUCGGCUACC
rnacentral:rRNA from 1 species